AUUGAACGCUAGCGGGAUGCUUUACACAUGCAAGUCGAACGGCAGCGCGGACUUCGGUCUGGCGGCGAGUGGCGAACGGGUGAGUAAUGUAUCGGAACGUGCCCAGUAGCGGGGGAUAACUACGCGAAAGCGUAGCUAAUACCGCAUACGCCCUACGGGGGAAAGCAGGGGAUCGUAAGACCUUGCACUAUUGGAUCCGCCGAUAUCGGAUUAGCUAGUUGGUGAGGUAACGGCUCACCAAGGCGACGGCCCGUAGCUGGUUUGAGAGGACGACCAGCCACACUGGGACUGAGACACGGCCCCGACUCCUACGGGUGCCAGCAGUGGGGGAUUUUGGACAAUGGGGGCAACCCUGAUCCAGCCAUCCCGCGUGUGCGAUGAAGGCCUUCGGGUUGUAAAGCACUUUUGGCAGGGACGAAGCGUCGCGGGCUAAUACCCCGUGGAACUGACGGUACCUGCAGAAUAAGCACCGGCUAACUACGUG
rnacentral:rRNA from 1 species